rnacentral:rRNA from 1 species
CGCCUCUUGUUACCCAUAAGAGGUCCAGCCUGCCCAGUGACAAAGUUAAACGGCCGCGGUACCCUAACCGUGCAAAGGUAGCGCAAUCACUUGUUCUUUAAAUGAGGACUAGUAUGAAUGGCAUCACGAGGGUUAUGCUGUCUCCCCAAUUUACUCAGUGAAACUGAUCUCCCCGUGAAGAAGCGGGGAUAAGAAUAUAAGACGAGAAGACCCCAUGGAGCUUUAAACUCAGUAACAAUUGCACCACAAAAUAGCCUAAUAUUUAUGCAACCCUGUCUACUAGUUUUCGGUUGGGGUGACCACGGAGUAUAAACAAACCUCCACGAUGAAAGGAAUUAACAACCUAAACCAAGAGCUACAGCUCUAAAUAUCAACAAAUUGACUAAAUUGAUCCAAUCACUUGAUCAACGAACCAAGUUACCCUGGGGAUAACAGCGCAAUCCAUUUCAAGAGCUCAUAUCGACAAAUGGGUUUACGACCUCGAUGUUGGAUCAGGGUAUCCAAGUGGCGCAGCCGCUACUAACGGUUCGUUUGUUCAACGAUUAAAACCCU